rnacentral:rRNA from 1 species
AGUGAACGCUGGCGGCAGGCCUAACACAUGCAAGUCGAGCGGCAGCGCGGGGGCAACCCUGGCGGCGAGCGGCGGACGGGUGAGGAAUUCGUCGGAAUCUGCCUUUUUGUGGGGGAUAACGUAGGGAAACUUACGCUAGUACCGCAUACGUCCUACGGGAGAAAGUGGGGGACCGCAAGGCCUCACGCAGAAAGAUGAGCCGACGACCGAUUAGCUAGUUGGUGGGGUAAAGGCCCACCAAGGCGACGAUCGGUAGCUGGUCUGAGAGGAUGAUCAGCCACACUGGGACUGAGACACGGCCCAGACUCCUACGGGAGGCAGCAGUGGGGAAUAUUGGACAAUGGGCGCAAGCCUGAUCCAGCCAUGCCGCGUGUGUGAAGAAGGCCUUCGGGUUGUAAAGCACUUUUGUCCGGAAAGAAAUCCCUGGAGCUAAUACCUUCGGGGGAUGACGGUACCGGAAGAAUAAGCACCGGCUAACUUCGUG